CGCUAUCACUCCUACGGGAGGCAGCAGUAGGGAAUCUUCCACAAUGGGCGAAAGCCUGAUGGAGCAACGCCGCGUGUGUGAUGAAGGGUUUCGGCUCGUAAAACACUGUUGUAAGAGAAGAAUGACAUUGAGAGUAACUGUUCAAUGUGUGACGGUAUCUUACCAGAAAGGAACGGCUAAAUACGUGCCAGCAGCCGCGGUAAUACGUAUGUUCCAAGCGUUAUCCGGAUUUAUUGGGCGUAAAGCGAGCGCAGACGGUUAUUUAAGUCUGAAGUGAAAGCCCUCAGCUCAACUGAGGAAUUGCUUUGGAAACUGGAUGACUUGAGUGCAGUAGAGGAAAGUGGAACUCCAUGUGUAGCGGUGAAAUGCGUAGAUAUAUGGAAGAACACCAGUGGCGAAGGCGGCUUUCUGGACUGUAACUGACGUUGAGGCUCGAAAGUGUGGGUAGCAAACAGGAUUAGAUACCCUGGUAG
rnacentral:rRNA from 1 species